rnacentral:rRNA from 1 species
GACGAACGCUGGCGGCGUGCUUAACACAUGCAAGUCGAACGGAAAGGCCUGCUUUCCCUUGUGGAUUGCGGGUACUCGAGUGGCGAACGGGUGAGUAACACGUGAGUGAUCUGCCCCCAACUUGGGUAUAAGCCUGGGAAACUGGGUCUAAUUCCCGAUAGGACUGCAGGGUGGUGCCUGUGGUGGAAAACGAUUUUCUAGUGGCUGGGGAUGAGCUCGCGGCCUAUCAGCUUGUUGGUGGGGUAAUGGCCUACCAAGGCGGCGACGGGUAGCCGGCCUGAGAGGGUGGACGGCCACAUUGGGACUGAGAUACGGCCCAGACUCCUACGGGAGGCAGCAGUGGGGAAUAUUGCACAAUGGGCGGAAGCCUGAUGCAGCGACGCCGCGUGGGGGAUGACGGCCUUCGGGUUGUAAACUCCUUUCGACCGCGAGGAAGCCACCUGGUUGGAAGGGUGGUGACGGUAGUGGUAGAAGAAGCACCGGCUAACUACGUG